GAACCUUUGGCGCAGCGGUAGCGCGUAUGAUUCCAGAGAGCAGCAAAUGGCCCUUUUCGAGGGCUGUCGCUGCGCAGAUGGUUCCAUAAGGUCGUCCGUUCAAUCCGGGCAAGGUUCA